AAUAACAUAAUUUUACUAAAAAAGUUAUAAGAUGAAGUGAACAAUUUAUUUUUUGUGUGAGAAAGUAUCUAUUACAAUCUAACUUGUUCCGAGAAAACCUUUGCAAAAGAUUUAAUAAAGAACAAGCAAUUUGAUGAGAUUAUCAUAUCAUUAUUAUCAUAUUUAUUAUUCGAAUUUUAAAGAGAAACAGUAAGAAAUUUUAUUAAUACAUUAUUAAAAAAUUGUUGGCUGUUACACCAAAAUUCUCUUUCUUGUAAGCUGAUGUAUGCUAUUGAUAAAAAAUUCACCAAAGUUCAUCCCUGUUUUAGCUCAGCGAACCAUUAUAUGUAUAGAGAAUUGACAGAGCAAUUCAUAUCAAAAGGAUUAUCUAAAGGUGUACUUCCUAGUUCUUCAAGUAUGUUAUUUUAUGGCAUUAUCUUAUGGCAGGCUAGGGAGAGAAUAAUGACAAAUGUUAUAAUUUUAUUUUAAUAUUGUAUUGCAACUGUGUGGCUCUUAAAGGUAUCGUACAACUAUCUUUUUUAGAUUACUGAAAUAAAUAAAAAGCGUGAAAUCUGAUCUGAAACAAUUACAACAAAGUAUACAGACUAAUAUCACUCAACUAACCUGCCGAUGAUGUAGUCGCAGGCUGUAAUAUAGGAAAUAUGUUUAUGAAUGUCAAGGAUCAUCUGUAGGUCUUAGUCAUUUAGUAACUGUCAUGCAUUUUGUGUCAGCCAGAUAUACGCCUCAGAAAUAUACUGAUAAAGCUCUUAGUUACAUUAAAAACUAAAAAAAUAAUUUAAGAAUGACUAGUGGAUGUGCGUAUGAUUAUCUGGAAAUGUGCACAAAAGUGGAACUUGAGAAGGAACAUUUGAUUAUUCCCAUCUCUAAUUUGCUGGGUUUUAUUCUAAAAACAUAUAAUGGCUAUAAUUUAUUCUUACCUGUUCUAAUCCUUGUGAAAAUUUCUUCAGCUUUUAUAAAUUUCAGUUAUUCUUUACGUUUUUUUAAAUUUUAAGAAGAACAGUUGUCCGAAUGAUGUAAGAAUAAUUGGCAGAAUCCUGUAAUAUAAAAUUAGUUUUAAUAUGAUACGUCUUUAUAAAUUAUAUUUAUAAGUUUAUAACUGCCUUUAUAUAUUGCAUGAUUUACACAUAUGCUAGGUGACUUUUGUAACUAGAAAUGUAUGUAAAACUAGCAGCCCAAAUAAUAAAUUAUCUUUAAAUUUACUUAAGAAAUACAUUAUUUAAAUAUAAAAAUAUGUAGUUGUGCGGAUCAAAACAGGAAACAUAUCGCUAUGUAUUUUGUCAAUAAUAGGUUUGAUAAUAUACAUAUCUGUUAGUUUUAACUUUAACGAUAAAUUUAUUGCUUCGCAAGAUGGAGUAGAACUUUUAUCUGCCAUACUUUUUUGUUCAUUUUGUGCAAAAAUGCAUCGAAUAAGCAGCGUAUACAAUUUUGUCGAAAUUGUAUGAUGGAUCUAAAAUGUAUAAUUAUCAAUGUACGUCAAUAAUACAUGUGUUGUAUCGAAUUAACAUGUAGUAUCAAAAAUAAAAAAUAUAUAAAGGCGGUUAUAACUUAUAAAUCUAUUAUGUUGUUGCUGACUAAACAUAACCUACAAAACAUGUAGGAAAGAUUAUAAUAAGUUAUUUAUGAUGUAUAUUAUACAUAAAAAUAAUAUAUGUUAAUUAAAUGCAGCAACAUUUUCUAC
rnacentral:lncRNA from 1 species